AAACUUUCAACAACGGAUCUCUUGGUUCUGGCAUCGAUGAAGAACGCAGCGAAAUGCGAUAAGUAGUGUGAAUUGCAGAAUUCAGUGAAUCAUCGAAUCUUUGAACGCACAUUGCGCCCCUUG
rnacentral:rRNA from 1 species